rnacentral:rRNA from 1 species
GAUGAACGCUGGCGGCGUGCCUAAUACAUGCAAUUCGAGCGCACGGACGAGAAGCUUGCUUCUCUGAUGUUAGCGGCGGACGGGUGAGUAACACGUGUAUCACCUACCUAUAAGACUGGCAUAACUUCGGGAAACCGGAACUAAUACCGGAUAAUCUUUUGAACCGCAUGGUUCAAAAGUCAAAGUCGGUCUUGCUGUCACUUAUAGAUGGAUCCCCGCUGCAUUAGCUAGUUGGUAAGGUAACGGCUUACCGAGGCAACGAUGCAUAGCCGACCUGAGAGGGUGAUCGGCCACACUGGAACUGAGACACGGUCCACACUCCUACGGGAGGCAGCAGUAGGGAAUCUUCCGCAACGGGCGAAAGCCUGACGGAGCAACGCCGCGUGAGUGAUGAAGGUCUUCGGAUCGUAAAACUCUGUUAUUAGGGAAGAACAUAUGUGUAAGUAACUGUGCACAUCUUGACGGUACCUAAUCAGAAAGCCACGGCUAACUACGUG